CGUUCAGGGGUAAACCUGAGAAACCCAAAAGAUCGAAUGGGGAGAUUCAUCGACGACGAAGCUGGCUCCCGUUGGCGUGCGAUUCCCCCGUUGGGACCUCGGUUCCAGAACGCGGGGUACACCCCUUCGGCGAAUAACCGGCGACGUAGUCGUGCACUUCUCCCUUAGUAGAACGUCGCGACCCGUUGUGUGUCGGUCUACGGCCUGGGCUAUUUGCCUGUCGCGGUGGCAUUCGUUCGCUCGCGGCAGAGGCUCGGUCGCCCGGCCGGCUGCACGACGGUACUCCGACGGUAUCGGGCCGCAACCAAGCCAUUCUUGAACGGUAUAUGCGUCCAGGCCCGUCGCAAGCUCGGACAGCACCCGGAGCGUGUGGACGCAGCGCCCUCCCCGGGUCUGGCCAGCUGUUAGCAGACGGAGUCCUCGGACCGGCCAAGCUUCAAAUUACCGGUCAGCGACGCUAUUGCUUUGGGUACUCUCAGGACCCGUCUUGAAACACGGACCAAGGAGUCUAACAUGUGCGCGAGUCAUUGGGACAUUGAAACCUAAAGGCGAAAUGAAAGUGAAAGUCGUCGUAAGCGUCGACCAAGGGAGGAUGGGCCGCGUCACGUCGCGGCCUCGCACUCCCGGGGCGUCUCGUUCUCGUUGAGAAGAGGCGCACCCAGAGCGUACACGUU
rnacentral:rRNA from 1 species